GUCCUAGCAGUAAACGGUGCACGCUUGGUGUGAGGGGAAUCGACCCCCCUUGUGCCGGAGCUAACGCGUUAAGCGUGCCGCCUGGGAAGUACGGUCGCAAGACUAAAACUCAAAGAAAUUGACGGGGACCCGCACAAGCGGUGGAGUAUGUGGCUUAAUUCGAUGCAACGCGAAGAACCUUACCAAGGCUUGACAUGCAUCUCUAAGCGCGUGAAAGCGCGUGACCCUUCGGGGGAUUUGCACAGGUGCUGCAUGGCCGUCGU
rnacentral:rRNA from 1 species